GCCAAAUAAACCACGGCACAACAAAAAUUUGCAUAAAAGCAGAGUGAGGCGAAGUCGAGCCGCGUCAAUUUGUCAAUGUAACACGAAAGAAAGCGAGUUUCAGCUUGGAGAGCAUCCGAAAUGCAGAUGCGUUCGAAAUAUGCAAAUUAGCGUGCUAAUUUGUGAAGGCAAUCUUUAAAUAGAGCCAUAAAUUUAACACAGUAUGCGUUGGCGUACGUGUGUGUGUGAAUGGAGGCUAGACACGUUACAUAUACGAAGAAACCUCAUGCUCCAUUGCAAGCACAAUAAACAAACGCAAAGCCCACAAAACUAACGAAAGAAAGAAAGAAAGAGCGAAACGAAAGUGGUACGAACGGAUGUGCCACAAAACAGUGGGGCGAGCUAUGCCCAAAGCGGGCAGCGAAUGCAAUCAGCCUGCUUGGCAUGCCAAACGCAGCCAGACAAUUAAAAUUUAUCGAAAAUCCAAUAAGAAUAUUCUAAUUGUCAUCAGAGUCACGUUUCUUUGACAAGCCCAAACAGUUUUUUAUUUACAUUUUUAAUUUCACUAAUAUUACUUUCUAA